rnacentral:rRNA from 1 species
AUUGAACGCUGGCGGCAUGCUUUACACAUGCAAGUCGAACGGUAACAGCACUUCGGUGGCUGACGAGUGGCGAACGGGUGAGUAAUACAUCGGAACGUGCCUAGUAGUGGGGGAUAACUACUCGAAAGAGUAGCUAAUACCGCAUGAGAUCUAAGGAUGAAAGCAGGGGACCUUCGGGCCUUGCGCUACUAGAGCGGCUGAUGGCAGAUUAGGUAGUUGGUGGGAUAAAAGCUUACCAAGCCGACGAUCUGUAGCUGGUCUGAGGGGACGAUCAGCCACACUGGGACUGAGACACGGCCCAGACUCCUACGGGAGGCAGCAGUGGGGAAUUUUGGACAAUGGGCGCAAGCCUGAUCCAGCAAUGCCGCGUGCAGGAUGAAGGUCUUCGGGUUGUAAACUGCUUUUGUACGGAACGAAAAGCUCUCUUCGAAUACAGGCGGGUCAUGACGGUACCGUAAGAAUAAGCACCGGCUAACUACGUG